rnacentral:lncRNA from 10 species
GCGGGAGUGAUGCAGCUCACCUCCCCACAAUAGGCAGGCUCAACUGGUGGGAAGUCAACUUCCCACCUUUCGUCUUGCGAUGGGUCUACCUCCAACCCACUGAAACCAAAGUGGGCUCCGUCUCAUUCUGGCCUAGGCAGAACAGGGCCCACAGCGCCCUCCCCUUAUAACCACGACUUCCUUCUCUUCCAGGGCACAUUCAGAAGAGACAGGCAUCUCCCUUGUGCAGGGCGGCUCCGUGGCCUGCCCGUCACCACCUGUCUGGGCUCCCUCCCCUUGAGUGAUGACUUCUCCCCAGCAGCUGACACCUGAGCUGGAGAGGGUGAAGAGCUGCCAUUCUCCAGAAAUAGACAGUGACACAGCGGAUGUUAGAUUGAGAUUAAUCUCUUGCACCGGACCGGCCCCUUGCCAACAAACAGGCCUGCAGCCAGAGGAUCUCUCAGGCCCUUUCCCCUGAUCUGGCCUCCUGGGAACUGCGUAACUCAGAUUAACAACAGGCUCUGGAGAGCUGAACAUUGUAUUACGUGCUCACUGGAAAUUUGGAUGUGUCCUUCUGUGAACUGCCUGCCCAGGAGCUAUGACAUGAGCUUUGCAAGUCUUCCCAAGAUGAGAGGCCCAGAGAACUUGGGCAAUUUGUCUAAGGCCACUUGGAGUCUGGACUGGAACCCAGGUCUCCUGACUCCCUGUGUAGUGCUCUUCCCAGGCACCAGGUCCUUAAUUCACCCUGAGCAUCUGGGGAAGCUGCACGUGCUACAGUCGCUGCUGCAGCCGCUUCAAGCCGCAGAGAAAUGUUCUUCGUAAGGAGGCAGCCGAGAAGGGACUGCAGGGCUUGCUUCUCUCCUGGGGACAGGGGUGCCAGGAACACCAGCUUUAAUUUCUGAUAGUGCUGACCUGUGUUCUCCACCACCACUUUCAUUAAAUAUCGACAGUUGCAUACAGGGAAAAUUCCCAAUUAAACUCCCGUCUCGUCUCCACCGCAGACACUUCGUCUGAUUGAGUAAUAAGCUGAUUUUGCUAAGAGGAAGCUACAUCUGCAGCUUCGGGUCAAGGGCUCACCCUGGCUUGUCCUGGCUCCACAGAGUGUGUCCUGUAGAAGGGGCAGUGCAGUAAAAGGGACCCUGCACCAGGGGUGUGACCUGUGUCUGAAUCCCACAUGCUAGCCUGAGUCCCACCCCUCAUCUUAAAACACUGACAUAAGUCGCACACAUAAGCGAGGAAAACCGACUGACUGUUCAUGUGAUUUUUGUAAUCUGUCC